rnacentral:rRNA from 1 species
AUGGCCACGCCCCCCUCCACAAUCCAUCCAUGGGUCCCGCCCAUCACCUCCCGUCCGCUCCUGCCUAACCAUCACGUAGGCUCAGGUUCUGGUUCCAGCGUGCCCGCCUUCCACAAGCUUGACAUCCCAGCAUAUGAUGGCUCAGUUGAUCCUCCUGGUUGGCUCAAUAGGUGCGAGCAGUUUUUUCAUGGACAGCGCAAGGACGAUGACGACAAGGUCUGGACUGCAGCCUACCACCUCAGCAGUGACGGUCAAUUCGGGUACCUUCAGCUCGAGCGUGAUUUCGGCAUGCCAACAUGCCAUGUUCAGUUAGGGCCGUCACUUCAUGCAAAUUCCCUUGGGCGAGUUAGCGCGUCUGCCAUUCACUUGUUCGUAGACUACUCCAGCAGAUUUCUAGUGCUCAUGUGUCACAACAAUGAGCCAUUGACAACCUACGGAUUGCAGACAAGCUGUUUUUUGAGGGAGAGAUGUUAUGUGGACCAGCCCAGCAAACAUGGGAUUCUUUACCUGCCGCGAAGAUGCAAAUAUAACGUUUUAAAACUUGAAUGGCAACUGAAUGGUUAUACGAAUAAAUGGCCCAGCAGACCAGCUUCGAUGCCGCAGAAGAUUGAUGUUCCUCUUCUAGUUCUUACUUCUUAG